rnacentral:rRNA from 1 species
CGUAGGAUGGGACUGCGGCCUAUCAGUUUGUUGGUGAGGUAAUGGCCCACCAAGACUAUUACAGGUACGGGCUCUGAGAGGAGUAGCCCGGAGAUGGGUACUGAGACACGGACCCAGGCCCUAUGGGGCGCAGCAGGCGAGAAAACUUUGCAAUGUGCGAAAGCACGACAAGGUUAAUCCGAGUGGUUUCUGCUAAAGGAACCUUUUGCAGUCCUAGAAACACUGGUGAAUAAGGGGUGGGCAAGUUCUGGUGUCAGCCGCCGCGGUAAAACCAGCACCUCAAGUGGUCAGGAUGGUUAUUGGGCCUAAAGCAUCCGUAGCCGGCUCUGUAAGUUUUCGGUUAAAUCCGUACGCUCAACGUACAGGCUGCCGGGAAUACUGCACAGCUAGGGAGUGGGAGAGGUAGACGGUACUCGGUAGGAAGGGGUAAAAUCCUUUGAUCUAUUGAUGACCACCUGUGGCGAAGGCGGUCUACCAGAACACGUCCGACGGUGAGGGAUGAAAGCUGGGGGAGCCAACCGGAUUAGAUAACCGGGUAGUCCCAGCUGUAAACCAUGCAAACUCAUUGAUGCGUUGGCUUGUGGCCAAUGCAGUGCUGCAGGGAAGCCGUUAAGUUUGCCGCCUGGGAAGUACGUACGCAAGUAU